rnacentral:piRNA from 1 species
UUUUGUAUUCGUAUUCAUUGU